UACGUAGGGUGCGAGCGUUAAUCGGAAUUACUGGGCGUAAAGCGUGCGCAGGCGGUGAUGUAAGACAGUUGUGAAAUCCCCGGGCUCAACCUGGGAAUUGCAUCUGUGACUGCAUCGCUAGAGUACGGUAGAGGGGGAUGGAGUUCCGCGUGUAGCAGUGAAAUGCGUAGAUAUGCGGAGGAACACCGAUGGCGAAGGCAAUCCCCUGGACCUGUACUGACGCUCAUGCACGAAAGCGUGGGGAGCAAACAGG
rnacentral:rRNA from 1 species